UCAGACCCCGCUUGUAAACUCCAGAAAGUAGCAUUUAUUGGACCUGCAUCAGCCGUCGGUACCUGGGCAAAGGUAGCAACCGUGAAAAUAGCUGGCGCCCGCACACCACACGUUUUACACAGAAGUUUCAGACUCACUACUCGCAGCCUUGCUGCCAGCUUCCCCUUGUACGGAAGAAGAAGCCUGCUUACCCACCUCGUCUGCCUGGAGUUCAGUUUGGUGACCCCCGUCCGUCUCUUCAUGAAGAGGCGCAGGUUCCCGAUGGUUGAAAGGAAUGUCUUCCUCAGCAAGAGGUUCACCCUCACAGGGAAUGUCAGAAUGUUCAAAGAAAUACUUGUACCGAAUGCGGUCAUACGUUUUUGCUGCCCCCAUGUGCGCCGCCAUCGGCUGAUCAUGAGAAAACUCGAGAAUCUGCGGAACCAGUUUCGAAGGGACAACCGUAAGAUGCAAGAUUUUCGGACCGUGUUUAGUGGGAAGCUGUACAAUUCGUUUUAAUACCUGCUCCACUAGGGCAUAUUUAUCAGCUUCUUUCUCUACCCUUGAUGCAAUGGACCUAUCUUGAGGCAACGUGCCGUGUUCCAAAUACUGGAUUAUGUGUCUCAAUUCAGGAUCUUCGUGUUGUGCCGCCUGUAACGAAUCUAAGGAAACUGGAUAUUUACUGCUGUCAGGAGUUUCCAAACUAUUUACCUCCGGCUCAUUUGGCCUGGACAACAGGUCGGCCAAAGGGAUGGUAGUGCCUUCUGCAUGGAGUAUAUCAAAUGAAUAUUGCUGUAUGGCUAGACUCAUUCGCAUUAAUUUUGGUGAGUCUGUUCUUUUUUGUAGCAGAUAGGUAAGAGCUUUGUGAUCCGUUUUUACUAAAAAAUGAGUUCCUGCCAGGAACAUUUUGAAAUGGCGAAGUCCUUGUACCAACGCAAACAUUUCCUUUUCUGUAAUACACCAAUGUGACUG